rnacentral:lncRNA from 1 species
UGGGCGGGCUCUGAGCCAGGCUGUGCGUGCAGAGAUCAGCCAGGAGACCGCGGUGAACCCCGUGGACAUCGUCAGCACCCUGCAGGCCCUGCAGAUGCUCAAGUACUGGAAGGGCAAACACCUGGUCCUCAAGAGGCAGGACCUGAUCGACGAGUGGAUCGCCAAGGAGGCCAAGAGAUCCAACAGCAACAAGACCAUGGAUCCCAGCUGCCUCAAGUGGACCCCUCCCAAGGGCACCUAAGCGUCCCCAGGGCCGGGCCCGGUGCCGCCCUGCCCGGCGUCCCCACAGUUCUGAGGAACUCGGAUGUUUCGGCCUCAGUGAGGCCGUGUGAGGACUGGAAGUGUCUGGGAGCCCCAGGGAGCCGAGGAGCUCCGAUUGCUGGGCCUGUCCCUGCUGUCCCUGCUGUCCUGCUCCAUCCUCCCGUCCCUCCUGCAGCUCAGCCGGCUGCCAGCGCUUCCCUGGAGCUGCUCCCGUCCCGUUCCACAUCCCAGAUAGCUUUAGUGGGAUCGUCUCCCCCCUCCUGCAGCAGUUUGCCCUGGGAUCCAGCAGAUCUUCGCUUAGUUCCUGUUGUACAGCCAGAAUUGCAGCCGAGGCAGGGGCGGGGUGUUCCCGUCACCCCCUCCCGGAGCCACCACAGCCCUGCUGGAAGCACCUCUGGAUCAGAAUUGCUGUUUUUUCCUGGCUGAAGGAAUCCAAACUUUGUCCUUCUCCAAAGAGCCACAGGAACUCCCCAGCACCGGUUCCAGGGAGGGAUGGAUUCCCUGGAAAAGCCAAAAAAAAAAAAACAAAAAAAAAGCUUUGAUUCCUCCCCUGCCAUCAGCAGAAAUACCCUGGAAUCCUCCCAGUGCCACCAGGGUCCCCCAGCCACCCGUCCCCGCGAGGCUGCGGGGUCACCGACACAGGGGACAGCCCUGGGCCGGGGCUGGAGGCAGCCCAGGCUGGAUUCCCUGAUCCCAGACUGGAUUCCCUGAUCCCAGGCUGGAUUCCCUGAUCCCAGGCUGGAUUCCCUGAUCCCAGGCUGGAUUCCCUGAUCCCAGUGCUGAUUUCAGUGAUCCCAG